GACGUAGGUGGCAAGCGUUGUCCGGAUUUAUUGGGUUUAAAGGGUGCGUAGGCGGCCCUGUAAGUCAGUGGUGAAAUACUCCAGCUUAACUGGAGGGGUGCCAUUGAUACUGCAGGGCUUGAGUGGAGUCGAAGUAGGCGGAAUUGACGGUGUAGCGGUGAAAUGCUUAGAUAUCGUCAAGAACACCGAUAGUGAAGACAGCUUACUAGGCUUCUACUGACGCUGAGGCACGAAAGUGUGGGGAUCAAACAGG
rnacentral:rRNA from 1 species